CUUAUACUCCCUCCAUCCGAAAAUACUUGUCGGAGAAAUGCAUAAAAAUGGAUGUAUCUAAAACUAAAAUACGUCUAGAUACAUCCAUUUCUCCGACAAGUAUUUCCGGACGGAGGGAGUACAAG
rnacentral:pre_miRNA from 1 species